rnacentral:rRNA from 1 species
UACAGAGGUCUCAAGCGUUGUUCGGAUUCAUUGGGCGUAAAGGGCGCGUAGGCGGGAUGGCAAGUCGGUCGUGAAAUCCCUCGGCUCAACCGAGGAACGUCGAUCGAUACUGCUGUUCUUGAGGAUUGCAGAGGAGACUGGAAUUCCCGGUGUAGCGGUGAAAUGUGUAGAGAUCGAGAGGAACACCGGUGGCGAAGGCGGCCAACUGGACGAAUACUGACGCUGAGACACGAAAGCGUGGGGAGCAAACAGG